rnacentral:lncRNA from 1 species
UCAACUGCCGGGCUAUAAUCUAUGAAACUGAGCCCAGAUCCAGCCAAUCAGUUCGCUCCUCAUAACAAGUCUAACUGGCUCUGGAAAGCUGAAAGGGCUGCACUGGAGCGGCAUAGAUGAUAUAUUCCACACAGUAAUCUGCUUAUCUAGAGUCACUCUGCCUGGAAAAGCCAGAGAGAAUCACGGCUUCAUUAUCUGAGGGAAGAAGGACAGGUGAUCUGGCAGAAAACACAUCUGAACCUGGAGCAA